UACGUAGGGGGCAAGCGUUGUCCGGAAUCAUUGGGCGUAAAGCGCGUGUAGGCGGUCCGGUAAGUCCGCUGUGAAAGUCGGGGGCUCAACCCUCGGAUGCCGGUGGAUACUGUCGGGCUUGAGUACGGAAGAGGCGAGUGGAAUUCCUGGUGUAGCGGUGAAAUGCGCAGAUAUCAGGAGGAACACCAAUUGCGAAGGCAGCUCGCUGGGACGGUACUGACACUAAGGCGCGAAAGCGUGGGGAGCGAACAGG
rnacentral:rRNA from 1 species